rnacentral:sRNA from 1 species
GCUGGGUGUGGUAGCUCAUGCCUGUAAUCCCAGCAACUUGGGAGGCUGAGGCAGGAGGAUUGCAAGUUCAAAGCCAGUCUCAGCAACUUCGCAAGAUCUCAAGCAACUUAGUGAGACCUUGUUUCAA